rnacentral:rRNA from 1 species
AACGUAGGAGGCGAGCGUUAUCCGGAUUUACUGGGUGUAAAGCGCGUGCAGGCGGUUGGCUAAGUUGGGUGUGAAAGCUCCUGGCUCAACUGGGAGAGGUCGCUCAAGACUGGCCGACUGGAGAGCAGUAAGGGAAGGUGGAAUUCCGGGUGUAGUGGUGAAAUGCGUAGAUAUCCGGAGGAACACCAGUGGCGAAGGCGGCCUUCUGGACUGCUUCUGACGCUCAGACGCGAAAGCUAGGGGAGCAAACGGG